rnacentral:misc_RNA from 1 species
UCACAUCUUACGAUGGCAGUCUCGUUAGAGUCCUCAGCGUUACCUGUUAGUAACUAACGAUGUGGGUUGCGCUCGUUAUGGCACUUAAGCCGACACCUCACGGCACGAGCUGACGACAACCAUGCAGCACCUACACUACUGCUGUUGCCAGAAAUCCCUUUUCGGGGACGGUCAGUAGCAUUUCAAGCCCGGGUAAGGUUCCUCGCGUAUCAUCGAAUUAAACCACAUGUUCCUCCGCUUGUGCGGGCCCCCGUCAAUUCCUUUGAGUUUCAUUGUUGCCAACGUACUCCCCAGGUGGAUUACUUAUCGCUUUCGCUUAGUCUCUUACAAUAUAUCGCAAAAAACUAGUAAUCAUCGUUUACUGUGUGGACUAC